AGCUCCAAUAGCGUAUAUUAAAGUUGUUGCGGUUAAAAAGCUCGUAGUUGGAUUUCGGCGAUCAGGGGCCGGUGAUAUAUUUGUAUCUACUGGCCCAUUUGGUCGUAUUUUUGAAAGAGGGUUUGGGGUCCCCUUCACUGGGUGUCCUAGGUCGCUUUCAGGUUUACUUUGAAAAAAUUAGAGUGCUCAAAGCAGGCUUUAACGCUUGAAUAUUCGUGCAUGGAAUAAUAGAAUAGGAAGUUCGUUUCUAUUUUGUUGGUUUUAGGAUAACGACUUAAUAAUUAAUAGGGACAAUCGGGGGAAUUAGUAUUCAAACGACAGAGGUGAAAUUCUUGGACCGUUUGAAGAAGAAAGAAGGAGAAAGAAGGGGAAAAGAGGGGGGUAA
rnacentral:rRNA from 1 species